UAGGGAAUAUUGGACAAUGGGGGCAACCCUGAUCCAGCCAUGCCGCGUGAGUGAAGAAGGCCCUCGGGUUGUAAAGCUCUUUUGUCCGGAAAGAAAAGCUUCGGGUUAAUACCCCGGGGUUCUGACGGUACCGGAAGAAUAAGCACCGGCUAACUUCGUGCCAGCAGCCGCGGUAAUACGAAGGGUGCAAGCGUUACUCGGAAUUACUGGGCGUAAAGCGUGCGCAGGCGGUUUUGUAAGACAGAGGUGAAAUCCCCGGGCUCAACCUGGGAACUGCCUUUGUGACUGCAAGGCUGGAGUGCGGCAGAGGGGGAUGGAAUUCCGCGUGUAGCAGUGAAAUGCGUAGAUAUGCGGAGGAACACCGAUGGCGAAGGCAAUCCCCUGGGCCUGCACUGACGCUCAUGCACGAAAGCGUGGGGAGCAAACA
rnacentral:rRNA from 1 species